UACGAAGGGGGCUAGCGUUGCUCGGAUUGACUGGGCGUAAAGGGCGCGUAGGCGGCUAUCCAAGUCAGUGGUGAAAGCCCGGAGCUCAACUCCGGAACUGCCAUUGAAACUGUUUAGCUUGAGGAUGAGAGAGGUGAGUGGAAUUCCCAGUGUAGAGGUGAAAUUCGUAGAUAUUGGGAAGAACACCGGUGGCGAAGGCGGCUCACUGGCUCAUUACUGACGCUCAGGCGCGAUAGCGUGGGGAUCAAACAGG
rnacentral:rRNA from 1 species